rnacentral:rRNA from 1 species
UACGUAGGGGGCAAGCGUUGUCCGGAUUUAUUGGGCGUAAAGAGCGUGUAGGCGGCCAUACAGGUCAGCUGUGAAAACUCGAGGCUCAACCUCGAGACGUCGGUUGAAACCGUAUGGCUAGAGUCCGGAAGAGGAGAGGUGGAAUUCCCGGUGUAGCGGUGAAAUGCGCAGAUAUCGGGAAGAACACCUAUGGCGAAGGCAGCUCUCUGGGACGGUACUGACGCUGAGACGCGAAAGCGUGGGGAGCGAACAGG